GUGCACAUUUCAUUGACCCACUUUUUUUCUGUUCAUGUGAGCAGUGUUAUUUCUCAUGUGCUAUACAAUAGAUGAAAGUUAAUUAGCUAUAUGACUCCAUAGUGAUACUGCCAGUCUCCUUCGAACAGUU